rnacentral:lncRNA from 1 species
GGCAGUGAAGCUCAGCUGGUCCCAGCAUGAGAAAGGAAGCUCCCUGCCUCCAUCCCAGACUCCUAGGGCAGUGAAGCUCAGCCGGUUCCCGCACCCACAAGGAAGCUGCCUAGCCUCCUUCCCAGGCUCCUAGGGCAGUGAAGCUCACCCAGUCCCAGCACCAGGAAGGAAGCUCCCCUACUCCCAUCCCAGGCUCCUAGAACAGUGAAGCUCAACUGGUCCCAGGACCCGUAAGGAAGCUACCCCACUGCCUUCCCAGGCUCCUAGGGCCAAGAAGGUAAGCCGGUCCCAGCACCUUGAGGGAAGCUUGCAGGCUCAAUCCCAAGCUGCCAGGGCAGUGAAGCUCAGCUGGCCCCAGAACCUGGAAGGAAGCACCCCGCCUCCAUCUCUGGCUCCUAGGGCAGUGAAGCUCAGCCUGUGCAAGCACCCGGAAGGAAGCUUCCCCGCUGCCAUCCCAAGCUCCUAGGGCCAAGAAGGUGAGCCAGUCCUAGCACCUGGAGGGAAGCUCCCCAGCCUCCAUCUCACGCUCCUAGGGCAGUGAAGCCCAGCUGGUCCCAGCACCAGGAAGGAAGCACCCCGCCUCCAUCCCAGGCUCCUAGGGCACUGAAGCCCAGCUUGUCCAAGGACCAGGAAGGAAGCUCCCCCACUACAUCCCAGACUCCUAGGGCCAAGAAGGUGAGCAGGUCCCAGCAACCAGAGUGAAGCUCCUAGUCUCCACCCCAGGCUAAGAGGGCAGUGAAGCUCAGCCAGUCCCAGCAGCCGGAAGGAAGCUCCCACCUGCCAUCCCAGGCUCCUGAUGCCAAGAAUGUGAGCAGGUCCCAGCACCAGGAAGGAAGCUGCCCUGCUGCCAUCCCAGGUUC